GCCGCUCCAGCUCACCAUGGAUGAUGAUAUUGCUGCGUUCGUCGUUGACAACGGCUCCGGCAUGUGCAAGGCCGGCUUCGCGGGCGACGACGCCCCCCGGACCGUCUUCCCUUCCUUGGUGGGGCGCCCGCAGCAUCAGGGCAUGAUGGUGGGCAUGGGUCAGAAGGACUCCUACGUGAGCGAUGAGGCCCAAACCAAACCAAGAGAGGCAUCCUGACCCUGAAGUACUCCAUUGAGCACGGCAUCGUCACCAACUGGGACGACAUGAAGAAGAUCUGGCACCACACCUUCUACAACGAGCUGCGUGUCGCCCCCGAGGAGCACUCCGUGCUGCUGACCGAAGCUCCCCUGAACUCCAAGGCCGACCGGGAAAAGAUGACCCAGAUCAUGUUUGAGACCUUCAACACCCCAGCCAUGUACGUGGCCAUCCAGGCUGUGCUGUCCCUGUACGCCUCUGACUGCACCACUGGCAUCGUGAUGGACUCCGGGGACAGGGUCACUCACACUGUGCCCAUCUACGAGGGGUACGCCCUACCCUAAGCCAUCCUGCGUCUGGACCUGGCUGGCUGGGACCUGACAGACUAUCUCAAUGAAGAUUCUCACCGAGAGUGGCUACAGCUUCACCACCACGGCCGAGCGGGAAAUUGUGCGUGGCAUCAAGGAGAAACUGUGCUACGUUGCCCUGGACUUCGAGCAGGAGAUGGCCACCACCGUGUCCUCCUCCUCCCUGGAGAAGAGCUACAAGCUGCCCGACGGUCAGGUGAUCACCAUCAGCAAUGAGCGCUUCCUCUGCCCCCAGGCUCUCUUCCAGCCUUCCUUCCUGAGCAUGGAAUCCUGCAGCAUCCACGAAACCACCUUCCACUCCAUCAUGAAGUGUGAUGUGGACAUCCGCAAGGACCUGUACGCCAACACGGAGCUGUCCGGAGGUACCACCAUGUACCCAGGCAUCGCCGACAGGAUGCAGAAGGAGAUCACUGCCCCGGCGCCCAGCACAAUAAAGAUCAAGAUCAUCACACCUGCUGAGUGCAAGUACUCCGUGUGGAUUGGCGGCUCCAUCCUGGCCUCCCUGUUUGCCUUUCAGCAGAUGUGGAUCAUCAAGCAGGAGUACAACGAGCCCGGCCCCUCCAUCGUGCACCGCCAGAGCUUCUAGG